ensembl:snRNA U6 U6 spliceosomal RNA
GUGGUCGCUUCCACAGCACAUAUACUAAAAUUGGAACAACACAGAGGAGAUCAGCGUGGUGCCUGCGCAAGGAUGACAUGCAAAUUCAUGAAGCGUUACAUAUUUUU